UACGGGGGGAGCAAGCGUUGUUCGGAUUUACUGGGCGUAAAGGGCGCGUAGGCGGCCACUGCAAGUCAGUUGUGAAAUCUCCGGGCUUAACCCGGAGCGGCCAAGUGAUACUGUCGUGCUAGAGUGCGGAAGGGGCUACUGGAAUUCUCGGUGUAGCGGUGAAAUGCGUAGAUAUCGAGAGGAACACCUGCGGCGACGGCGGGUAGCUGGGCCGACACUGACGCUGAGGCGCGAAAGCCAGGGGAGCGAACGGG
rnacentral:rRNA from 1 species